rnacentral:rRNA from 1 species
UUCGCCUUCAUGAAGCUGGAAUUGCUAGUAAUGGCAGGUCAGCAUACUGCCGUGAAUACGUUCCCGGGCCUUGUACACACCGCCCGUCACACCAUGAGAGUUGGGAAUACCCGAAGCCUGUGAGCUAACUUUUAGAGGCAGCAGUCGAAGGUAGAAUCAAUGAUUGGGGUGAAGUCGUAACAAGGUACC